AUUGAACGCUGGCGGUAUGCUUAACACAUGCAAGUCGAACGGUAACAGGCCUUCGGGCGCUGACGAGUGGCGGACGGGUGAGUAACGCGUAGGAAUCUGCCUCAUAGUGGGGGACAACGUGGGGAAACUCACGCUAAUACCGCAUACGCCCUACGGGGGAAAGCGGGGGAUCUUCGGACCUCGCGCUAUGAGAUGAGCCUGCGUUAGAUUAGCUAGUUGGUAGGGUAAAGGCCCACCAAGGCGACGAUCUAUAGCUGGUCUGAGAGGACGAUCAGCCACACUGGGACUGAGACACGGCCCAGACUCCUACGGGAGGCAGCAGUGGGGAAUAUUGGACAAUGGGCGCAAGCCUGAUCCAGCAAUACCGCGUGUGUGAAGAAGGCCCUAGGGUUGUAAAGCACUUUCAAUGGGGAGGAAAACCUGCCGGUCAAUACCCGGCAGCUUGACAUUACCUAUAGAAGAAGCACCGGCUAACUCCGUGCCAGCCGCCGCCGUAAAAC
rnacentral:rRNA from 1 species